GAUGAACGCUGGCGGCGUGCCUAAUACAUGCAAGUCGAGCGAACGGACGAGAAGCUUGCUUCUCUGAUGUUAGCGGCGGACGGGUGAGUAACACGUGGAUAACCUACCUAUAAGACUGGGAUAACUUCGGGAAACCGGAGCUAAUACCGGAUAAUAUUUUGAACCGCAUGGUUCAAAAGUGAAAGACGGUCUUGCUGUCACUUAUAGAUGGAUCCGCGCUGCAUUAGCUAGUUGGUAAGGUAACGGCUUACCAAGGCAACGAUGCAUAGCCGACCUGAGAGGGUGAUCGGCCACACUGGAACUGAGACACGGUCCAGACUCCUACGGGAGGCAGCAGUAGGGAAUCUUCCGCAAUGGGCGAAAGCCUGACGGAGCAACGCCGCGUGAGUGAUGAAGGUCUUCGGAUCGUAAAACUCUGUUAUUAGGGAAGAACAUAUGUGUAAGCAACUGUGCACAUCUUGACGGUACCUAAUCAGAAAGCCACGGCUAGCUACGUG
rnacentral:rRNA from 1 species